rnacentral:sRNA from 1 species
ACCAUCAUGCUUUUUAGAGGCCUCUGCUCUGCCAGCCUGGGAGUCAUCUUCACCCUCAGGCUGGUAGACUCCAGUCUCUUAGGUCAGAAUGGGAUUAGAGACCCGUUCCUGAACCAGUCACACACAGCGGGUGAAACUGCUAUGAUUGGUUUAGACUUAGAGACUGGAAUGGAUGCUGAUCCUUAGAAUAUACACAAAGUUUUCAUGGACCACACAUUAUGAAACACUGGAUUAGCGCAAAGUGAAAUGCUUCCAGAGUAGGAGCCACUAUUCUGAGGAAUCUUGGAAGAAAAAUCCCCAGAUAGCAGAUGACUGGUAGGAAGAUGAGGCAAGUUUGCGGUCCAUUGUCAUGGAUAGUGGAGACAACACUGGGCCAGAAGUGGUAAGACCUGAAUCCAAGACUCAGCUCUGCCACUUGCUAAAUGGGACUUUGAAUAAACCAUUUCUCUGCACUUAAGUUCCUUACCAACAAAACGAGGGAAGUGGCCUACAUGCCUAGAUAUCAACAUUUCAUGUCAUGUAGAGAUCUAGCAUCACAAGACUCCAAGUCAUCCUCUGUUGCCUUUAAGAAAUUAGAAUUCAAGGAAUCAGAAUUGAAGUGAAUCUGACUACACUAAGCCUAUCACUUGUGACAGCCAUGGGAAGAUAUCAUUGGUUGCUGAGGAGCAGAAAUAAGCAGAGACCUAUUGUGUUAGGUUAUCAUUCAUUUCAGGACACCAUGGUGUUCACCUUUCUACAACUUUACACUUGCUGAGGACAUAUUGUGGAAAAUUAAGAGAAAUAUAUAUGGAUGGCCAAGGCUGUAGAUGGAUGUCCAAGCCUUUUUACUGGGGAAUGUUUUCAGAACAAAAUGAGUUACAGGUUCAAGAGUGAAACCCAACAAAUCUUGGCUCUUUUUUUCUCUACUAAAUUCCAAAUCAAAA